UACAGAGGUCUCAAGCGUUGUUCGGAUUCAUUGGGCGUAAAGGGUGUGUAGGUGGCGCCGUAAGUCGGGUGUGAAAUCUCGGAGCUUAACUCCGAAACUGCAUUCGAUACUGCCGUGCUUGAGGACUGGAGAGGAGACUGGAAUUUACGGUGUAGCGGUGAAAUGCGUAGAUAUCGUAAGGAAGACCAGUGGCGAAGGCGGGUCUCUGGACAGUUCCUGACACUGAGGCACGGAAGGCCCAGGGGGAGCAAAACGGGG
rnacentral:rRNA from 1 species